CGUUACGGAGGUCCCCAUCCGCCAGCGAGUGUCGCCCGCGGAUGCGGCUUUG
rnacentral:sRNA from 1 species